GACGAACGCUGGCGGCGUGCUUAACACAUGCAAGUCGAACGGAAAGGCCCAGCUUGCUGGGUGCUCGAGUGGCGAACGGGUGAGUAACACGUGGGUGAUCUGCCUCUAACUUCGGGAUAAGCUUGGGAAACUGGGUCUAAUACCGGAUAGGACAAUCGUUUAGUGUCGGUUGUGGAAAGUUUUUUCGGUUAGGGAUGAGCCCGCGGCCUAUCAGCUUGUUGGUGGGGUAAUGGCCUACCAAGGCGUCGACGGGUAGCCGGCCUGAGAGGGUGGACGGCCACAUUGGGACUGAGAUACGGCCCAGACUCCCACGGGAGGCAGCAGUGGGGAAUAUUGCACAAUGGGCGCAAGCCUGAUGCAGCGACGCCGCGUGGGGGAUGACGGCCUUCGGGUUGUAAACCUCUUUCGACAGGGACGAAGCUUGGGUGACGGUACCUGUAUAAGAAGCACCGGCUAACUACGUGCCAGCAGCCGCCGUAA
rnacentral:rRNA from 1 species